CUCGCGCCGUCGGAUCGCGAUCGGACGGCUGGGAUCAGUGUGGGUGGGGAGCGUGGCCCCUGGCGGAAAAUAAAAAGCGCCCCGUGCGGUGGUCUUUAUUUCCUGCUCCUUCGUCGGUCGGUCGGUCCGUCCGUCCGUCCGUCGUCGCCGCUCCGCCACACACGACGGCACCGCCGCCGCCCGCCGGCGGUUCCCCGUGACGCGGCCUCCGGCGCUCUAGGAUCUUGCAGUGGCUAGCUCGUCCUAAUCCCUGCAUCCCCACCCUCGCGCACCGACCUCCUCAUCAUCCCCACCUCAGGCCGCAGGAUGCAGCAGGGGCUUCAGCAACAGGUACAUCGCGGCAGGCCGCUUCAGGGGUGAUGGAUGGCAAGGCCAGGCACUGGUUGCCGGCAGGUACCAUCAUAUUCCGGCCAGUCCUGCUCCUCGUGGAUGUAUCUGUAACUCUGUUGACCUUGUAUUGAUCUUCUUCUUAGUGCCUAAGAUGUCAAACUUAUGGCUAGCCUACUAGGUUUGCAGUGUGGAUCUUCUAUUUGUCAUCUCUAGAGAAGAUCAAUUCGGCUUUCACAUCAUGUGUUUGGAGUGUGAAAGUAAAUUUAUGAUGACAACAACAUGCCUGCUUGCAACUUGAUCUCACAACAAGUUUGCAGCUGUGAUAGUUUGGCAAAGCUAGUAUUUUCAGAGGACUUUGUACAUAUACCUCUGCUUUCUUCACUGCAGGCAAUUGGCUGUGAAGCUACCGAAGGCAAUUUGCUCAGAUGAAGAAUAUCGGUAAUGCCUUAUUCAGGAAAAAUAUUUCCGAAAUGUGCUAUAUACAACAAAUUCUAACAUAGGACAUCCACAACCUAUUCCAGGACCUUCCUUAUGUGUCAUGUACUAACUCCUGAGUUCUGGUUCUACAGUAUGACAGUAACCACCCUCAUCACUCUGUCAAACUGCCAUAUGUGUGUCCAAUACCUGGGAAUACACACGUUGGGGGCUAUGGGGAACUUUGACUUCCAAUUUUUUUUUCUCAUAUCACUCUUUGAUACCUCCCUAUGUUUCGUGGUUCAAUACCUCCUGAAGUGCCCCCCAAAAAAUCAUGAAGUGAAUUUUUUUAGAAGAAAUUAUAAUCUAGCACAUCCACAAUACAUUCUAGGACCUGCCCUUUGUGUUGUGGACUAACUUCUGACUUCUGGUUCUACAAUAUGACAGUAACUAUCCAUGGGCUUUAUGCCCCACCACUUUGCCAAACUGCCAUAUGUGUGUUCGAUACCUGGAGAUGCUGGCAUCAAAGAGUAUUGGGGAACUUUGACUUUCAAAAUUAAGAAAUCAUGAUAUCCCACCCUUACUCCCCCUAAAGAGAUCCGGAUCCAACCCCACGAAAGCCAUUAGAUCCAUAACUAUAAACCCUAAGCAAACCCUAUCAAUGCCAGAUCUAACCUGGGAACCCUCGAUGCUGCCCUUGGAGAAUCCUUGACAUCGCUUCCUUAAUCCAUCGGGCGAUGCCUGCUCCAUGCGACAGCAAUGGCGCUCCAACCCAGCAAGCCAUGAGGAAGAGGUGGCUUCGCUUGCCUCGGCGGAAGGAGCGGCUUGGUGAUUCAUCAGCCGGCGGUGCCGAGACGCACAAGGAACACUGAAUCGAUGCGCCAGGCCGCCGGCGUAGGAAGAUGGCAACCCUUUUGGUGGAAGAGGGCAUCAUGGAACUGCUCUUGUGGAGGCGCUGGCCUGGCGGCGCUGCAUCCGCCCCAUGGGUGGUGGCUGUCAAGCGCAAGGGCAGCCCUAGGGCUUCUUUGCGUGUGGCCGCGUUUGCUGCGAGCAUAGGCCUAUAUGGGCCCAGCCAGCUGUCCUUCACCCUUUCUAUUUUCUCUUGGGCUAAAUGUGAAUACGAAUAUUAUUUGGAACAUAAUUAAGAAUAUUUGGUGCGUUUUGUGAAGAAACGGUCAGGGAGGAAAUAUUAGGACGAAUAUGCCCUUCUAUUGUAAUAUCCAAUUUAAGGUGGAGAUAUACAGUUUUCGUUCAGUCAGUAACAUUUCUCUGUACUCAUACUUAUCUUCGUUGCCAUACCAGCAUGUCAGCACUCACCACCCAUAUGGUGUAUUCAGGAAGCUUGGGAGAUAUGCAACUAACAGACUUGUCUUAGGCUCUGGUAGUAUCGUCGAGAAGUUAUAAAAUUCUAUUGAGCAUUCAGCCCCAGCUUCAAUAGCUUCCUUGAUAAUGUGUGUUAUGCUUCAGUGUAUUAGUAUACAACCGAACUAUCAGAAGAAGAAAAAACGUAGACGAAAUGCAUACAAUUCACAUGGCUAUGAGUCAAGUUCAUCUAGAGGUUGAGUACCAUGCAUCCAACAAUGCAAUGGCUUAGGUCAUUAGACAUAGAAAUGAUCAGCUAAGUUUUAUAUUAUUCACCUUAUUUUCGUGUUGAAUUAUUGCUUCUCGUUUUACAAUGUAACUCAGCAACUCAGAAGGUAGAGUAUUUGCUUGUGUUUAUUACUGUUUGGCGCACCUGUUUAACAUCCGGGACUUCCUCGGUUUGAGUCUCCAAGUUGUCAGACAAACCAUAUUUUAUUAGACAAAAUUGGGCUUUCAUGCAACUCUUUUGCACUCUCUUUGCUCUUUGUCAAGAGCAUUCCUUUUAUUUACUGGAGUUAUGAUCAAUAUGGAGCGUCGAUAAGAAUGUUCCUUCUGGGAGGCAGUUAUGGUUAGUAUCCACUAGUGCUUUCCUCUGAUGCACCUUGCACCUUGUACCUUUUUUUAUGGAAAUUGCAGACUUACAGCCUUGCAACUGGAUGGCAUGCACCUUUUACCUUUUUUUAUGGAAAUUGCAGACUUACAGCCUUGCAACUGGAUGGCAUACGUCUACAUUAGCCUUAGUUCCAUUCCUUUAAUGGUUGGUACCUCCAAUGCUACUUAUUUUUCUGAGACUUAUCUGUGACUGCUGUUUGUAUCAGUUUCGCAGCACCUAGCCAUUUGAAAGGAUAUGGUAUGAUUAAUACCUAGAAACAUACCCUGUUUUGUAAUAGGGAUAUUCUGUAUCUUGCUUUAUCAUAUGGGGGAUUGUGUUCCCAUUGUGCAGCUAGGAAGGCAGGUAGCAGCAUGUCCAUAGUCCACAUCGAACUCUAACACUGUUGUUACAAAAGAAAAGUGGUGUGUGCCUACCCAUUCGGAUUUUUUAGCAAAAUUGACCUGACAUAGCACACUUUAUUAUCGUUAUCCAUCCAAUGUGUAUUGGCCAGUGUGGUGAUGCAUUUUGAUUUUAUUUUGCUUCUGUUGUUGCUAGCUCUCACGUUGGUACGAUAUGUAUCCUGCAGUAUAUCAUCAUUAUAUAUAUUUUUAUAUAAAAUAUCAUAUUCUAAUGGCAGGCAUAUGUUAUUUUAUACCACGUUACAAUAUUUACUUUCUUUUGUUUCAUCUCAGAUGUGAUUCAAGAACCAUGAGUUGGUUUCGAGAUCGUAUGGGUUUCAGCUCUAGCCUAUCCCUACUUGUUUCGAGAUCUUGUUGUUGUUGUUUAAUUUAGUUGUGAUUCACUGUCUUUAGGAAUUGUUCAGGAAACAUUUGCUAUUUUGUAGGGCGAAUUCAGUCACAGCAAAUGUAUUUCAACACGUGAAAUUUUUGCCACCCAUAUACUGCUAAUGGACCCACAGCUUUUGUUCGGGCUUCUUUGAUUCAAAAGAAUUCGGCAGGAACAACUUUGGAGGAUUUGAGUCAGUAGGAUUUGCUUUAACUUGGGAAUUUUCCCUUCUGUUACAGUUAUUUUGUUUCUCUUAUGAUGCGUGAAACACUCUCUAAUGCUAAAUUACAUGACAUACCAAUGUUUUGCU